UACAGAGGUCUCAAGCGUUGUUCGGAUUCAUUGGGCGUAAAGGGUGUGUAGGUGGCGCCGUAAGUCGGGCGUGAAAUUUCGGAGCUUAACUCCGAAACUGCAUUCGAUACUGCGGUGCUUGAGGACUGGAGAGGAGACUGGAAUUCAUGGUGUAGCAGUGAAAUGCGUAGAGAUCAUGAGGAAGACCAGUGGCGAAGGCGGGUCUCUGGACAGUUCCUAACGCUGAGGCACGAAGGCCAGGGGAGCAAACGGG
rnacentral:rRNA from 1 species